rnacentral:rRNA from 1 species
GACGAACGCUGGCGGCGUGCUUAACACAUGCAAGUCGAACGGAAAGGCCCCUUUGGGGGUCCUCGAUCGGCGAACGGGUGAGUAACACGUGAGUAACCUGCCCCUGACUUCCGGAUAACUCCAGGAAACUGGGGCUAAUACCGGCUAGGAAUCCUUGCUCCCUGGCGGGGGUUGGAAAGCUUGGGGGGCUUGGGAUGGACCCGCGGCGUAUGAGCUUGUUGGUGGGGGAGUGGCUUACCAAGGCUUUGACGGGCAGCCGGCCUGGGAGGGGGACCGGCCACAUUGGGGCUGGGAGACGGCCCAGGCGCCGGCGGGGGGGAGGAGGGGGGAAGAGUGGACAAUGGGCGGGAGCCGGAUGGAGCGACGCCGCGUGCGGGGUGGGGGCCUUGGGGUUGUAAAGCGCGUUGGGCAGGGGCGGAGCGUGUGGUGACGGUACCUGCAGAAGAAGCACCGGCUAACUACGUG